GUUAGAUACCCUAUUAUUAAAAAUGUAAAUUUUUUUACUUAAUUAGUAUUAGUUAUGUUCUUGAAAAUUAAAAAAUUUGGCGGUAUUUUAGUCUUUUCAGAGGAACCUGUUCUAUAAUCGAUAGUCCACGAUUAGAUGCACUUUAUUUAUUAGUUUAUAUAUCGUCGUAGUUUAAAUAUUUUAAUAGAAUUAUAAAUAUUUAAAAUUUUUUAUUAAAAAAUAAAUCAGAUCAAGGUGUAGUUUAUAAUAAAGAAGAAAUGGGUUACAAUAAAUUUAUUUGAAAAUAAUUUUUGUUAAAAAAAUUUGAAUUUGGAUUUGAGAGUAAUUUUUUAGAUUUUUUUAAGAUGAUUAAAGCUCUAAAAUAUGUAC
rnacentral:rRNA from 1 species